UUCUUGAUUUACAUCCCAUUGUAUCACAGAUAUCUAUGUAGAAUUUCAGGUUUCCCAGCAACCCUGGAAUGUAGUAUUAUUGUUCCAAUUGAUGUUGUGCUGUAAACAUGACCUCUGGCAUGCUGUGAGGUUAACCAACAUGAGGGACAGGCCCAGGGAAAUUCUGGAGCAGAGCGCUGGGGGAAAUUAGAAGUCUUUGUGGUGGAAGGCCUGGCCCCUGGAUGAGUGCACUGAGGAUCCAACAAGAGGCUGAUUCCUGGCAGGAGAGGCAAGAUGGUGGAGGAGUAGGGCCCUCAUCUCACCCGGCCCCACCAACUUCCCUGGAUAACUCAAACCAUCCUGAACACCUACGAAUCCGACCUGAGAUUUAAAGAGAGAAUGGCCGGAAUGCUACAGAGAGAAGGGUUUUCGUUUCUAACAGUGUACCUGGGUGGCUCAGUGGGUUAAGCGUCUGUCUCCAGCUUGGGUCAUAAUCCUGGAGUCUCCGGAUUGAGUCAAGAUCCCCACUCAACUAGGAAUCUGCUUCACCAUCUGACUCUUCCCCUGCUCAUACUACCUCGCUUUCUCAAAUAAAUAAACACAUAUUUUGAAAAAUA